AACGAACGCUGGCGGCAUGCCUAACACAUGCAAGUCGAACGAGACCUUCGGGUCUAGUGGCGCACGGGUGCGUAACGCGUGGGAACCUGCCUUUAGGUUCGGAAUAACUCAGAGAAAUUUGAGCUAAUACCGGAUGAUGUCUUCGGACCAAAGAUUUAUCGCCUUUAGAUGGGCCCGCGUUGGAUUAGCUAGUUGGUGGGGUAAAGGCCUGCCAAGGCGACGAUCCAUAGCUGGUCUGAGAGGAUGAUCAGCCACACUGGGACUGAGACACAGCCCAGACUCCUACGGGAGGCAGCAGUGGGGAAUAUUGGACAAUGGGCGAAAGCCUGAUCCAGCAAUGCCGCGUGAGUGAUGAAGGCCUUAGGGUUGUAAAGCUCUUUUACCCGAGAUGAUAAUGACAGUAUCGGGAGAAUAAGCUCCGGCUAACUCCGUG
rnacentral:rRNA from 1 species